CACGUAGGGUGCGAGCGUUGUCCGGAAUUAUUGGGCGUAAAGAGCUCGUAGGCGGUGUGUCGCGUCGGCCGUGAAAACCUGCAGCUUAACUGUGGGCUUGCGGUCGAUACGGGCAUCACUGGAGUUCGGCAGGGGAGACUGGAAUUCCUGGUGUAGCGGUGGAAUGCGCAGAUAUCAGGAGGAACACCGGUGGCGAAGGCGGGUCUCUGGGCCAUAACUGACGCUGAGGAGCGAAAGCGUGGGGAGCGAACAGG
rnacentral:rRNA from 1 species